rnacentral:rRNA from 1 species
CGGAUUUACUGGGUGUAAAGGGAGCGUAGACGGAGAGGCAAGUCUGGAGUGAAAACCCAGGGCUCAACCCUGGGACUGCUUUGGAAACUGCAAAUCUGGAGUGCCGGAGAGGUAAGCGGAAUUCCUAGUGUAGCGGUGAAAUGCGUAGAUAUUAGGAGGAACACCAGUGGCGAAGGCGGCUUACUGGACGGUGACUGACGUUGAGGCUCGAAAGCGUGGGGAGCAAACAGGAUUAGAUACCCUGGUAGUCCACGCCGUAAACGAUGACUACUAGGUGUCGGGUGGCAAAGCCAUUCGGUGCCGCAGCAAACGCAAUAAGUAGUCCACCUGGGGAGUACGUUCGCAAGAAUG